GGAGAUUAAUACCGCAUAAUAUGUUUUGAUCGCAUGAUCAGAAUAUCAAAGGAUUCUCUUCGGAGAUUCCACUUUGAGAUGGACCCGCGGCGCAUUAGCUAGUUGGUGAGGUAACGGCUCAUCAAGGCAACGAUGCGUAGCCGACCUGAGAGGGUGAUCGGCCACAUUGGAACUGAGACACGGUCCAGACUCCUACGGGAGGCAGCAGUGGGGAAUAUUGCGCAGUGGGGGAAACCCUGACGCAGCAACGCCGCG
rnacentral:rRNA from 1 species